GUGCCACCAGCCGCGGUAAUACGGAGGGUGCGAGCGUUAAUCGGAAUUACUGGGCGUAAAGGGCGCGUAGGCGGUCGCGCAAGUCGGGUGUGAAAGCCCCGGGCUCAACCUGGGAAUUGCAUUCGAUACUGCGUAACUAGAGUCUGGUAGAGGGAAGCGGAAUUCCGCAUGUAGCGGUGAAAUGCGUAGAUAUGCGGAGGAACACCAGUGGCGAAGGCGGCUUCCUGGACCAAGACUGACGCUGAGGCGCGAAAGCGUGGGGAGCAAACAGGAUUAGAUACCCUGGUAGUCCACGCCCUAAACGAUGAGGACUAGACGUUGGGGGGAUAAAACCCUUUAGUGUCGCAGCUAACGCGUGAAGUCCUCCGCCUGGGGAUACGGCCGCAAGGUUGAAACUCAAAUGAAUUGGCGG
rnacentral:rRNA from 1 species